GUUCUUCUGAAUAUCGAUUGAAAAACUCUUUUCUUAUAUAUAUAAAGCAAAGCUGUGUAUGUGCGCUUGUGUCUAAUUUCUUUUUUCCCAACACAAUAAUGUACAAUUUAAUAACUGUAAAAACAAAAAAUGAAAAUGAAAAUAAAAAUUGAAGUGUGUUCUUUCAAUUCAAAGCAAAACGUGCAUGCACGCUAAAAAUUGAUCAGCUUAUGAAUGCUAUAUAUUGUUAAACGUAAUAAAGCGAACUUGAGUAAAUAUCAGCAAAAAAAAAAAAAGGGAAAAAAACGACCUUGAAAAUGUGUUAAAUCCACUAAAAGUAAAUUGAAAGGCCCCUUAGCAAGCCGUAAAGAAUUUCCACAAAAACAAAGCGCAUAAUAAUAGAAAAAGCUUAAAAUUUGAAGGGAAAAAAGGCGGCUUCAUUAAAUGUGAUUUUGUUUUUUGCUUCUUCAUUUUUAUUUUUUUUUGCUUUCUUAUUUAUGUAUAUUCAAUGUGUCGUAGUUGUCAUCCAAAUAGUUUGCUGUUUUACUAAAACAAACAAGAGCAGCAACGUACAGGCCAAUAUCAAACGGUGAAGGGAAAUCUCGUUAAGCAUCUUAAGGGCGCCUUUUACACUUCAAGAAUUUUUUUUUUGCCUCCCCGGUUGCUGGCACUGCCAAAGACAAUUGAAACUUUUCAUUUGCAUGUGUUUAUAUAUGUGUGCGUGUACAAUCGUGUGCGAUCAUAAAAGCGGAAAAUUAUUACCACCAGAAUUUAUCGACAAUUUAAUAUAGAUUAAUGCGCGAACGACGAAUGGAACGAAUUUACGAAGGAAACGAACCAGAAGACAGGAACGUAUAAUAACAAAGGAUUGUUAUAAGAGCAAUGAAUUUUCCCAAAUUGAACAACAG